rnacentral:rRNA from 1 species
AUUGAACGCUGGCGGCAUGCUUUACACAUGCAAGUCGAACGGUAACAGGCCUUCGGGUGCUGACGAGUGGCGAACGGGUGAGUAAUGCAUCGGAACGUACCCAGAGGUGGGGGAUAACGCAGCGAAAGCUGUGCUAAUACCGCAUGUGAUCUGAGGAUGAAAGCGGGGGACCGAGCAGCAAUGUUUGGCCUCGCGCCUUUGGAGCGGCCGAUGUCGGAUUAGCUAGUUGGUUGGGUAAAGGCCUACCAAGGCGACGAUCCGUAGCUGGCCUGAGAGGACGACCAGCCACACUGGGACUGAGACACGGCCCAGACUCCUACGGGAGGCAGCAGUGGGGAAUUUUGGACAAUGGGCGCAAGCCUGAUCCAGCAAUGCCGCGUGCGGGAAGAAGGCCUUCGGGUUGUAAACCGCUUUUGGCAGGAACGAAACGGUGUCCGCUAAUACCGGGCGCUAAUGACGGUACCUGCAGAAUAAGCACCGGCUAACUACGUG